CCUAGUAGCGGCGAGCGAAGCGGGAAGAGCUCAAAUUUAUAAUCUGGCACCUUCGGUGUCCGAGUUGUAAUCUCUAGAAAUGUUUUCCGCGUUGGACCGCACACAAGUCUGUUGGAAUACAGCGGCAUAGUGGUGAGACCCCCGUAUAUGGUGCGGACGCCCAGCGCUUUGUGAUACAUUUUCGAAGAGUCGAGUUGUUUGGGAAUGCAGCUCAAAUUGGGUGGUAAAUUCCAUCUAAAGCUAAAUAUUGGCGAGAGACCGAUAGCGAACAAGUACCGUGAGGGAAAGAUGAAAAGCACUUUGGAAAGAGAGUUAACAGUACGUGAAAUUGUUGGAAGGGAAACGCUUGAAGUCAGACUUGCUUGCCGAGCAAUCGGUUUGCAGGCCAGCAUCAGUUUUCCGGGAUGGAUAAUGGUAGAGAGAAGGUAGCAGUUUCGGCUGUGUUAUAGCUCUCUGCUGGAUACAUCUUGGGGGACUGAGGAACGCAGUGUGCCUUUGGCGGGGGUUUCGACCUCUUCACACUUAGGAUGCUGGUGGAAUGGCUUUAAACGA
rnacentral:rRNA from 1 species